GAUGAACGCUGGCGGCGUGCCUAAUACAUGCAAGUCGAGCGAACGGACGAUAAGCUUGCUUCUCUGAUGUUAGCGGCGGACGGGUGAGUAACACGUGGAUAACCUACCUAUAUGACUGGGAUAACUUCGGGAAACCGGUUCUAAUACCGGAUCAUAUUUUGAACCGCAUGGUUCAAAAGUUAAUGACGGUCUUGCUGUCUCUUAUAGAUGGAUCCGCGCUUCAUUAGCUAGUUGGUAAGGUAACGGCUUACCAAGGCAACGAUGCAUAGCCGACCUGAGAGGGUGAUCGGCCACACUGGAACUGAGACACGGUCCAGACUCCUACGGGAGGCAGCAGUAGGGAAUAUUCCGCAAUGGGCGAAAGCCUGACGGAGCAACGCCGCGUGAGUGAUGGAGGUCUUCGGAUCGUAAAACUCUGUUAUUAGGGAAGAACAUAUGUGUAAGUAACUGUGCACAUCUUGACGGUACCUAAUCAGAAAGCAACGGCUAACUACGUG
rnacentral:rRNA from 1 species